UUUAAUGAGAGUUUGAUCCUGGCUCAGGACGAACGCUGGCGGCGUGCCUAAUACAUGCAAGUAGAACGCUGAGGUUUGGUGUUUACACUAGACUGAUGAGUUGCGAACGGGUGAGUAACGCGUAGGUAACCUGCCUCAUAGCGGGGGAUAACUAUUGGAAACGAUAGCUAAUACCGCAUAAGAGUAAUUAACACAUGUUAGUUAUUUAAAAGGAGCAAUUGCUUCACUGUGAGAUGGACCUGCGUUGUAUUAGCUAGUUGGUGAGGUAAAGGCUCACCAAGGCGACGAUACAUAGCCGACCUGAGAGGGUGAUCGGCCACACUGGGACUGAGACACGGCCCAGACUCCUACGGGA
rnacentral:rRNA from 1 species